CUCACAAAAUGUAAACUUAAUAUAAAAAAGCCACAGUGGGUUUCUAUAUAAGUAGGUCAAUAGUUGAUGUUUAUAUGAAAAAAAAAAAACAUUAUUAAAACAAGUCACCUACUUACUGAUUCUUAUUAUCAAUCAUUAACUUUAUAUAAAUAGAAGUGAUAAGAUUGUGAUUUACAUUUGUGUUUACAAGAUCAUUGAUUUUUAUAUUUUGUAAUCUUUGAGACUUUAGUUGUUCUUCUACCCUUAGGCAUAAUAUUACACAAAAAAUUUAAACAUAUACAUUAAAAAAAAUGUUGAAUUUGUUUCAAAUUGAAAUUUAUGUAUUUUUUACUCAUAGUUUGCCACAAUUGAAUUUAUUUGUAUAGGUAAUAAGGGAUGUUGCAAAAUUGCAUAAGGGAAACGAAGACUGAAAAGAAUGGAGUGCAUAUAAAGAGACCUACACUCAGCAUUGCAUGGACACAGGUUGAAGAAAAAGAUGAUGGCAUGUUGUGCAAAGAAAUAGGAUAGAUGCUAUGGAUCUCACAAACAUGUGGUUCAACAAGACGGCGCCACUUGUCAUACAGCACGGAAAAUAUCGCGCUCUUCGUGAAAUUUAGCGCCAUUUAUGCGAAGAUGUCAUACAAAAUUGGUCCAACAGGAUACACCAUCUACAGCGGAGGCGCGGCGGCCAUUUGGUUCAAAUUAUAUUCCAUACAUAAUGUCAUCGAAUACUCUAUAAAAUAAAAUAAAAAUUGUGGCAAUAUCACUUAAA